GGGAUGGGGAAGAACUAUGCCCUUAUCCCUUCAUCAUUUUGUACAUAUCCUUUUGGUCCAUAUCCUUCUUGGAGUUUUCCAUCCCUUCCAUUGCAUUCUAUAUAUAUGUAUAUAGCUCUACUCAUGGAGCUCUCCCUCUAUGAAUUAACAAGCACUGCUUCUAGUAUGAAUCUCCCCUUUUGUAUUAAUCUAGUGGUGCUCCUAGAGUAUGUUGGUUUUGUCUAAGGCGUCGCCUGCUGGUAUAGAAAGUAUUGUGCAGCCAAGGAUGACUUGCCAGCGACACUGCACUCUUUUUUCUAUUGAAAAGAUUGAGAGAGAUGAAGUUAGCAAGUUGUUCUUGGCUACAUGUUUCUUUCUACCCCGUAUGCGAAUCCUCUGACGACUUCACUUAUUCCUUGAAUGAGUUUCUGCGACAAAAUGAGAAGGUGGUUGCGGCUGAAGUUGGCCAUUCUUCUUGAGGUAGUAGUCAAGAAUUCACGCAAUGUGUCAAUAUGUACUAUGUUAGUACUAAAGGAUACUAUAACUUAAGUUAUGACUUCUGUAGUUUCUCUAUCAUUCAUUUUAAUGUAAUGGUGUUGAGAGAUGUUGAGUUAGCACUAUAAGUAAAAAACUUUUAACUACUCAACUACAUUAACAAAUAUGACUGGAAAUGUCUAACUCAAGGAAGAAUCAUUGAGCUCUAUCAGGUAGGAAGGAAUUGGCAGGGUUUGGGAGCAUAUGGAACAAGUAGAUAAUAGUAGUAAUGGUGUAAAUAUGAAAGACUUCCUUAGAAUUUCUGAUUCUUUUCUCUCAUGUGUUAAUAUAUUAUGGCUUCAACUUA